rnacentral:tRNA from 1 species
GCUUUUAAAGGAUAGAAGAUUAUCCUUUGGAUUUAGGAUUCAAGACGCAAGGUGCAAAUCCAUGUAAAAGCU